GAUUUUCAUUGUAUAUACUGUGGUUAAGUGUCAAUAGAUUCAAAAAAUAAUAGACUUUUAAUGUUGAUUGAUUUUUGAUUCCUUGACACAUAAAUUUGAAGUUGGUGCAAAUAUUUUGAAAAAUAUAGAAAUAAAUUAUGUAUAUGAUUCCGUCAACCUUUUUUGACAACAAAGCUCAAUAGUCUACAAAGAAAAAUAGCUUUAUGUUAUUGGAUUAUUUAAUAUAGCUGCAGCUACAGCAUCAUUUACUAGCUCAAUUUGAUCGUUAAGAUUAGCGAUACAGAUUUCAAGAUCUGAUAUAUGUUGUUGUUUUAAAAUAAAGUCUUGAUAUGAGUCAUAUAAAAACUGUCUUUAUUUUUUAUUGAUGCAGCCAUCAUAAUAUCAACUUCAUGGGCUGCUUCUUCAAACAUGUUAAAAAUUUUCAAAUAUACACCAAGAGCAAUAUGCAGACUUGGUAAAGAAACCUAUGUACAUACACAGCAAUGUGACAUGUCGCACAGUUUAUGCUAUGCGGUUGCCACUCAUUGAAUAAAAGCAGUGCUGUUGUUGUUUUUCUUUUU